rnacentral:rRNA from 1 species
UGCAGUCGAGCGAAUGGAUUGAGAGCUUGCUCUCAAGAAGUUAGCGGCGGACGGGUGAGUAACACGUGGGUAACCUGCCCAUAAGACUGGGAUAACUCCGGGAAACCGGGGCUAAUACCGAAUAACAUUUUGAACCGCAUGGUUCGAAAUUGAAAGGCGGCUUCGGCUGUCACUUAUGGAUGGACCCGCGUCGCAUUAACUAGUUGGUGAGGUAACGGCUCACCAAGGCAACGAUGCGUACCCGACCUGAGAGGGUGAUCGGCCACACUGGGACUGAGACACGGCCCAGACUCCUACGGGAGGCAGCAGUAGGGAAUCUUCCGCAAUGGACGAAAGUCUGACGGAGCAACGCCGCGUGAGUGAUGAAGGCUUUCGGGUCGUAAAACUCUGUUGUUAGGGAAGAACAAGUGCUAGUUGAAUAAUCUGGCACCUUGACGGUACCUAACCAGAAAGCCACGGCUAACUACGUGCCAGCCGCCGCGGUAA